UACGAAGGGUGCAAGCGUUAUCCGGAUUCAUUGGGUUUAAAGGGUGCGUAGGCGGGGCCAUAAGUCAGCGGUGAAAUCUUGCGGCUUAACCGUAAAAUUGCCAUUGAUACUGUGGUUCUUGAGUACGCUUGACGUGGGCGGAAUGUGCCGUGUAGCGGUGAAAUGCUUAGAUAUGGCACAGAACACCGAUAGUGAAGACAGCUCACGAAAGCGCAACUGACGCUGAGGCACGAAAGCGUGGGGAUCGAACAGG
rnacentral:rRNA from 1 species